rnacentral:rRNA from 1 species
UACGUGCCAGCAGCCGCGGUAAUACGGAAGGUCCAGGCGUUAUCCGGAUUUAUUGGGUUUAAAGGGAGCGUAGGCCGGAGAUUAAGUGUGUUGUGAAAUGUAGACGCUCAACGUCUGACUUGCAGCGCAUACUGGUUUCCUUGAGUACGCACAACGUUGGCGGAAUUCGUCGUGUAGCGGUGAAAUGCUUAGAUAUGACGAAGAACUCCGAUUGCGAAGGCAGCUGACGGGAGCGCCACUGACGCUUAAGCUCGAAGGUGCGGGUAUCGAACAGGAUUAGAUACCCUGGUAGUCCGCACAGUAAACGAUGGAUGCCCGCUGUUGGUACCUGGUAUCAGCGGCUAAGCGAAAGCAUUAAGCAUCCCACCUGGGGAGUACGCCGGCAACGGUGAAACUCAAAGGAAUUGACGGGGGUCCGCACAAGCGGAGGAACAUGUGGUUUAAUUCGAUGAUACGCGAGGAACCUUACCCGGGCUUGAA